AAUAGUUUCCCGGCCAACCCGUUACUGCCCAAGUGCCCAUCCCCUAGGCCCUAGCCCUCUGUCUCCUUUUUUUCCAUUUCUGUCCUUUCGAUUCCUUGGCGAUUUCCUUGUCCACCAUGGUGAGGAAGGGCGGCGUCGGCUUGACCAUGUCUUCUGUCUUAGUCGUUUCGGAGACUAAGUUUCUCAUUCAAUGGUGAGGUGUUUAUAGAAAGCAAGGCCUCGCUCGACGAGUCAUGUAGUCAUAGGUUUGAGUUCCCUAAUCAGUAGUGUAAGUUCCACAAGUAAGUAGUGUAACUUCCAUUUGAAUUCCAUUAGUUUGCAACGUUUUUGAAUUUGUAUCACACUGGUGAGUUUCCUAGUUUUUUAGUACUGCAAGUUCCAUAGGCAAGUAUUGGAAGCUUCCUAGUUUUGCAAUGCCC
rnacentral:rRNA from 1 species